rnacentral:ncRNA from 1 species
UCAUGGGUAAAACUGUCGAAAGGCAGUGACACAAAGCCAAGGGUCUAAAGUCCAUCAGAGGACUAUGCCAGCCGGUUGCCAC